CAGUCGAACGGAAAGGCCCUUCGGGGUACUCGAGUGGCGAACGGGUGAGUAACACGUGGGUGAUCUGCCCUGCACUUUGGGAUAAGCCUGGGAAACUGGGUCUAAUACCGAAUAGGACCGCAUGCUUCAUGGUGUGUGGUGGAAAGCUUUUGCGGUGUGGGAUGGGCCCGCGGCCUAUCAGCUUGUUGGUGAGGUAAUGGCUUACCAAGGCGACGACGGGUAGCCGGCCUGAGAGGGUGACCGGCCACACUGGGACUGAGAUACGGCCCAGACUCCUACGGGAGGCAGCAGUGGGGAAUAUUGCACAAUGGGCGCAAGCCUGAUGCAGCGACGCCGCGUGAGGGAUGACGGCCUUCGGGUUGUAAACCUCUUUCGCCAGGGACGAAGCGCAAGUGACGGUACCUGGAGAAGAAGGACCGGCCAACUACGUGCCAGCAGCCGCGGUAAUACGUAGGGUCCGAGCGUUGUCCGGAAUUACUGGGCGUAAAGAGCUCGUAGGUGGUUUGUCGCGUUGUUCGUGAAAACUCACAGCUUAACUGUGGGCGUGCGGGCGAUACGGGCAGACUUGAGUACUGCAGGGGAGACUGGAAUUCCUGGUGUAGCGGUGGAAUGCGCAGAUAUCAGGAGGAACACCGGUGGCGAAGGCGGGUCUCUGGGCAGUAACUGACGCUGAGGAGCGAAAGCGUGGGGAGCGAACAGGAUUAGAUACCCUGGUAGUCCACGCCGUAAACGGUGGGUACUAGGUGUGGGUUUCCUUCCUUGGGAUCCGUGCCGUAGCUAACGCAUUAAGUACCCCGCCUGGGGAGUACGGCCGCAAGGCUAAAACUCAAAGAAAUUGACGGGGGCCCGCACAAGCGGCGGAGCAUGUGGAUUAAUUCGAUGCAACGCGAAGAACCUUACCUGGGUUUGACAUGCACAGGACGCCGGCAGAGAUGUCGGUUCCCUUGUGGCCUGUGUGCAGGUGGUGCAUGGCUGUCGUCAGCUCGUGUCGUGAGAUGUUGGGUUAAGUCCCGCAACGAGCGCAACCCUUGUCUCAUGUUGCCAGCACGUUAUGGUGGGGACUCGUGAGAGACUGCCGGGGUCAACUCGGAGGAAGGUGGGGAUGACGUCAAGUCAUCAUGCCCCUUAUGUCCAGGGCUUCACACAUGCUACAAUGGCCGGUACAAAGGGCUGCGAUGCCGUGAGGUGGAGCGAAUCCUUUCAAAGCCGGUCUCAGUUCGGAUCGGGGUCUGCAACUCGACCCCGUGAAGUCGGAGUCGCUAGUAAUCGCAGAUCAGCAACGCUGCGGUGAAUACGUUCCCGGGCCUUGUACACACCGCCCGUCACGUCAUGAAAGUCGGUAACACCCGAAGCCGGUGGCCUAACCCCU
rnacentral:rRNA from 1 species